GCUGAGGAGCGAAAGCGUGGGGAGCGAUCAGGAUUAGAUACCCUGGUAGUCCACGCCGUAAACGUUGGGAACUAGGUGUGGGCGACAUUCCACGUCGUCCGUGCCGCAGCUAACGCAUUAAGUUCCCCGCCUGGGGAGUACGGCCGCAAGGCUAAAACUCAAACGAAUUGACGGGGGCCCGCACAAGCGGCGGAGCAUGUGGCUUAAUUCGACGCAACGCGAAGAACCUUACCAAGGCUUGACAUACACCGGAAAGCAUUAGAGAUAGUGCCCCCCUUGUGGUCGGUGUACAGGUGGUGCUUGGCUGUCGUCAGCUCGUGUCGUGAGAUGUUGGGUUAAGUCCCGCAACGAGCGCAACCCUUGUCCCGUCUUGCCAGCAGGCCCUUGUGGUGCUGGGGACUCACGGGAGACCGCCGGGGUCAACUCGGAGGAAGGUGGGGACGACGUCAAGUCAUCAUGCCCCUUAUGUCUUGGGCUGCACACGUGCUACAAUGGCCGGUACAAAGAGCUGCGAUACCGCGAGGUGGAGCGAUUCUCAAAAAGCCGGUCUCAGUUC
rnacentral:rRNA from 1 species